rnacentral:rRNA from 1 species
GGGCUACACACGUGCUACAAUGGGCAGUACAGACGGAAGCGAAGCUGUGAAGUGGAGCAAAUCCGAGAAAGCUGUUCGUAGUUCGGAUUGUAGGCUGCAACUCGCCUACAUGAAGUCGGAAUCGCUAGUAAUCGCAGGUCAGCACACUGCGGUGAAUACGUUCCCGGGCCUU